rnacentral:rRNA from 1 species
UACGAAGGUCCCAAGCGUUGUUCGGAAUCACUGGGCGUAAAGGGCGCGUAGGCGGCCUUCUAAGUCGGACGUGAAAUCCCCAGGCUUAACUUGGGAACUGCGUCCGAUACUGGAAGGCUCGAGUGCGGGAGAGGGAUGCGGAAUUCCAGGUGUAGCGGUGAAAUGCGUAGAUAUCUGGAGGAACACCGGUGGCGAAGGCGGCAUCCUGGACCGACACUGACGCUGAGGCGCGAAAGCCAGGGGAGCAAACGGG